GACGAACGCUGGCGGCGUGCUUAACACAUGCAAGUCGAACGGUAAGGCCCUUCGGGGUACACGAGUGGCGAACGGGUGAGUAACACGUGGGUGAUCUGCCCUGCACUUCGGGAUAAGCCUGGGAAACUGGGUCUAAUACCGGAUAGGACUCCGGACUGCAUGGUCUGGGGUGGAAAGCUUUUGCGGUGUGGGAUGGGCCCGCGGCCUAUCAGCUUGUUGGUGGGGUGAUGGCCUACCAAGGCGACGACGGGUAGCCGGCCUGAGAGGGUGACCGGCCACACUGGGACUGAGAUACGGCCCAGACUCCUACGGGAGGCAGCAGUGGGGAAUAUUGCACAAUGGGCGCAAGCCUGAUGCAGCGACGCCGCGUGAGGGAUGACGGCCUUCGGGCUGUAAACCUCUUUCAGCACAGACGAAGCGCAAGUGACGGUAUGUGCAGAGGAAGGACCGGCCAACUACGUGCCAGCCGCCGCUGUAA
rnacentral:rRNA from 1 species